rnacentral:rRNA from 1 species
UAAUACGUAGGGGGCAAGCGUUGUCCGGAAUUAUUGGGCGUAAAGCGCGCGCAGGCGGUCUCUUAAGUCUGAUGUGAAAGCCCACGGCUCAACCGUGGAGGGUCAUUGGAAACUGGGAGACUUGAGUGUAGGAGAGGAAAGUGGAAUUCCACGUGUAGCGGUGAAAUGCGUAGAUAUGUGGAGGAACACCAGUGGCGAAGGCGACUUUCUGGGCUGUACCUGACGCUGAGGCGCGAAAGCGUGGGGAGCGAACCGGAUUAGAUACCCGGGUAGUCCACGCCCUAAACGAUGGAUGCUGGGUAUGAGGGGUAUCGAACCCCCUCGUGCCGAAGCUAACGCGUUAAGCAUCCCGCCUGGGGAGUACGGCCGCAAGGCUA